AGCGUACACGGUGGAUGCCCUGGCAGUCAGAGGCGAUGAAGGACGUGCUAAUCUGCGAUAAGCGUCGGUAAGGUGAUAUGAACCGUUAUAACCGGCGAUUUCCGAAUGGGGAAACCCAGUGUGUUUCGACACACUAUCAUUAACUGAAUCCAUAGGUUAAUGAGGCGAACCGGGGGAACUGAAACAUCUAAGUACCCCGAGGAAAAGAAAUCAACCGAGAUUCCCCCAGUAGCGGCGAGCGAACGGGGAGCAGCCCAGAGCCUGAAUCAGUGUGUGUGUUAGUGGAAGCGUCUGGAAAGGCGCGCGAUACAGGGUGACAGCCCCGUACACAAAAAUGCACAUGCUGUGAGCUCGAUGAGUAGGGCGGGACACGUGGUAUCCUGUCUGAAUAUGGGGGGACCAUCCUCCAAGGCUAAAUACUCCUGACUGACCGAUAGUGAACCAGUACCGUGAGGGAAAGGCGAAAAGAACCCCGGCGAGGGGAGUGAAAAAGAACCUGAAACCGUGUACGUACAAGCAGUGGGAGCACGCUUAGGCGUGUGACUGCGUACCUUUUGUAUAAUGGGUCAGCGACUUAUAUUCUGUAGCAAGGUUAACCGAAUAGGGGAGCCGAAGGGAAACCGAGUCUUAACUGGGCGUUAAGUUGCAGGGUAUAGACCCGAAACCCGGUGAUCUAGCCAUGGGCAGGUUGAAGGUUGGGUAACACUAACUGGAGGACCGAACCGACUAAUGUUGAAAAAUUAGCGGAUGACUUGUGGCUGGGGGUGAAAGGCCAAUCAAACCGGGAGAUAGCUGGUUCUCCCCGAAAGCUAUUUAGGUAGCGCCUCGUGAAUUCAUCUCCGGGGGUAGAGCACUGUUUCGGCAAGGGGGUCAUCCCGACUUACCAACCCGAUGCAAACUGCGAAUACCGGAGAAUGUUAUCACGGGAGACACACGGCGGGUGCUAACGUCCGUCGUGAAGAGGGAAACAACCCAGACCGCCAGCUAAGGUCCCAAAGUCAUGGUUAAGUGGGAAACGAUGUGGGAAGGCCCAGACAGCCAGGAUGUUGGCUUAGAAGCAGCCAUCAUUUAAAGAAAGCGUAAUAGCUCACUGGUCGAGUCGGCCUGCGCGGAAGAUGUAACGGGGCUAAACCAUGCACCGAAGCUGCGGCAGCGACGCUGAUGCGUUGUUGGGUAGGGGAGCGUUCUGUAAGCCUGCGAAGGUGUGCUGUGAGGCAUGCUGGAGGUAUCAGAAGUGCGAAUGCUGACAUAAGUAACGAUAAAGCGGGUGAAAAGCCCGCUCGCCGGAAGACCAAGGGUUCCUGUCCAACGUUAAUCGGGGCAGGGUGAGUCGACCCCUAAGGCGAGGCCGAAAGGCGUAGUCGAUGGGAAACAGGUUAAUAUUCCUGUACUUGGUGUUACUGCGAAGGGGGGACGGAGAAGGCUAUGUUGGCCGGGCGACGGUUGUCCCGGUUUAAGCGUGUAGGCUGGUUUUCCAGGCAAAUCCGGAAAAUCAAGGCUGAGGCGUGAUGACGAGGCACUACGGUGCUGAAGCAACAAAUGCCCUGCUUCCAGGAAAAGCCUCUAAGCAUCAGGUAACAUCAAAUCGUACCCCAAACCGACACAGGUGGUCAGGUAGAGAAUACCAAGGCGCUUGAGAGAACUCGGGUGAAGGAACUAGGCAAAAUGGUGCCGUAACUUCGGGAGAAGGCACGCUGAUAUGUAGGUGAAGUCCCUCGCGGAUGGAGCUGAAAUCAGUCGAAGAUACCAGCUGGCUGCAACUGUUUAUUAAAAACACAGCACUGUGCAAACACGAAAGUGGACGUAUACGGUGUGACGCCUGCCCGGUGCCGGAAGGUUAAUUGAUGGGGUUAGCGCAAGCGAAGCUCUUGAUCGAAGCCCCGGUAAACGGCGGCCGUAACUAUAACGGUCCUAAGGUAGCGAAAUUCCUUGUCGGGUAAGUUCCGACCUGCACGAAUGGCGUAAUGAUGGCCAGGCUGUCUCCACCCGAGACUCAGUGAAAUUGAACUCGCUGUGAAGAUGCAGUGUACCCGCGGCAAGACGGAAAGACCCCGUGAACCUUUACUAUAGCUUGACACUGAACAUUGAGCCUUGAUGUGUAGGAUAGGUGGGAGGCUUUGAAGUGUGGACGCCAGUCUGCAUGGAGCCGACCUUGAAAUACCACCCUUUAAUGUUUGAUGUUCUAACGUUGACCCGUGAUCCGGGUUGCGGACAGUGUCUGGUGGGUAGUUUGACUGGGGCGGUCUCCUCCUAAAGAGUAACGGAGGAGCACGAAGGUUGGCUAAUCCUGGUCGGACAUCAGGAGGUUAGUGCAAUGGCAUAAGCCAGCUUGACUGCGAGCGUGACGGCGCGAGCAGGUGCGAAAGCAGGUCAUAGUGAUCCGGUGGUUCUGAAUGGAAGGGCCAUCGCUCAACGGAUAAAAGGUACUCCGGGGAUAACAGGCUGAUACCGCCCAAGAGUUCAUAUCGACGGCGGUGUUUGGCACCUCGAUGUCGGCUCAUCACAUCCUGGGGCUGAAGUAGGUCCCAAGGGUAUGGCUGUUCGCCAUUUAAAGUGGUACGCGAGCUGGGUUUAGAACGUCGUGAGACAGUUCGGUCCCUAUCUGCCGUGGGCGCUGGAGAACUGAGGGGGGCUGCUCCUAGUACGAGAGGACCGGAGUGGACGCAUCACUGGUGUUCGGGUUGUCAUGCCAAUGGCACUGCCCGGUAGCUAAAUGCGGAAGAGAUAAGUGCUGAAAGCAUCUAAGCACGAAACUUGCCCCGAGAUGAGUUCUCCCUGACUCCUUGA
rnacentral:rRNA from 2 species